CUGGAGGUAAACAGAUUUCUUGAAGUUAAACAGAUUCUGAUCUGAGUCUCCAAAAUGAAAAGAGAUAACAGGUCAUGUAUUCAAGUAUAAGUAAAUUUGAGUAAACUGAAGACCCACUUAUCUAUCUAACAGAA
rnacentral:snoRNA from 1 species